rnacentral:lncRNA from 1 species
AUUAGAUUGCGGUGAGGGGUGAUUAGAUGUUCUAUUUUCAAUAUUAUAGAGUUACAAUGAGUGGUUUCAGGAAUAUAUCGCCUUUUUUGAAAUGUACUUUCUUUUUGCUAAAUAUAUCAAUCUCAAUGACUACAUUGUUGUUAAACUUCUCAGAAGUUGAAAGUGUGGUCCAUUCAUGAAUAUAAAUGGUGAAUUCAAAGCUUCUUCACUAAAAUUACUUGCCAACAUUAGGCUAAUGAAUUCCUACGAAGGCUAGUCAGAUUCUUUGUCCUAUGAAAAUGUCAUUAUAACAGCUUAGUUCAAUAAGCCAUUUAACCUAAUACACCGCCUCAUAAAGGCUUUUAGAAGGUCACCUAUGCGCCCUUCCAACAGGAACAUCAUUGUUGGAUAUAGAAAGGUUUAACGUGGAAAAAAUAUGUUAUGUGAACAGCAUAAAAGGAAUAUUUUUAUUGAAUGAUAACCAUCAUAUUUAUACAUAAAGAAAAGCCUAAAAUAAUGCAUAAAGAAACUACUAUUUGAAAACUAAAUGCCUAAAAAACUGGUAACAAAUAGAGCAUAUCAGAGAGUUCCUAACAAUAACAUAAAAAGAUAAUAGAUCCUAAAAAUUAGGAACUUAAAACAGUAGUUUCAUAGUCAUCCAGUCAACACUCCUCCUUGACUCUGAAACUGCAUACACCAAGCAUUUGUGUCAAGAAUUCAUAUCUAGCUUUAUCAUAUCCUUCUGGUUCCAUGACAACAACGUUGCACCUUUGGUAGAUGUCUGAAAGUGAUCUAAUUCCUCUAACAGGUUCAUCAUCAACAUCUUCAUUCUCCUCCUGAAAUUUAAACUUCUCACAAUCUUCCCAAUUCCAACAAUCUGACUCAAGAAAUUUGACAUCUCUGCUAACAAUUAUUUUAUUGCUUUGUGGAAGAUAGAUUCUAUAGACUUUUGAAGAUGAGUUAUAGCCUACAAAAAUUUCAGGUUCUGUUUUCUUCUUGAUUUGUUCAAGGACAACAUCCACAACAGAAGAUUUAGGCUUGCUUUUAAAACUGUUAAGAACGUUAUUGGACACUCCUUUGUUCAUUUGUUCCCAUAUGGCAUCAACUUGUGCUUUUACUUCAGUAACAUCCUGUUUUAGUUCCAGGAUUUCCCCUGAAACAGGUUCUUUGACAGAUUUUGCAGAGUUUCCAUUGAUUGUAUCGACGGAACUCAUCACUCCCGCAACGUUCACGAUAGAUGGAUGGUGGAGGAACGCAACACCAACCUGAAUCCUUCCAUCCUUGGGUACAACAACAUGUUGUUCCUCAUUUAUCAAAUCCAAGGAAAAGCUCUUGCCUUUCAUUUGAACAUUGACCAUUUCUAUGUUGUUUGCAUCUUUAAUCACACAUUUUUUAUCCUCAAACAACUCCUUAUAACCAUUCUCUAGCAGUUGAGUAACACUCAAAAGGUUAUGAUUAAUUUUAGGAACAUAUAAGACAUCAGAAAUUAGUUUCAAACCUGAAAGGCUUUCAAUUGCAACUGUUCCCUUGCCUUUUACUUCAAUAAGUACGUCAUUUCCAAUUCUGACUUUGGAAAUAGUUGUCUUGUCCAAAUCUUUAAAGAGCUCACGAUCAUAAGUCAUGUGGUUUGUGCAACCACUAUCUAUGAGCCAACUCUCUUUGUUGGUAUUGGUGGCAAAGCAUGAUGCUACAAAGAGUUGGUCCUCCAAAGUUUGAUCUUCAGCAGCCUUAGCUUCUCCCUGAUGUUGAGCCUUGCAUAUUCUUUCCACAUGUCCUAACUGACCACACUUGUGACAUUUUACGUCUGGUCUCCACCAACAUCUGUUUGGUGGAUGGUUAUUUUUUUUUGCAGAAUGGACAAGGUGAAAAGAGACUUGUAUUGCUGCUCUGGUUUCUUUUCUCAUUCCUUCCACCAUUGUAGUUCUUUAAUUUAGCUUGUAAUGCUCCUUCCACUGAACCUUCAGACCUUAUCAUUCUUCUUUGUUCUUGGGCCUGCAUAGCAUUUACAAGCUCUCCCAACGUAAGCUUUAACAUGUCCUUGGUAUUUUCCAAGGAAGUUAUAGUUGCUUCAAAUCUUUUAGGGAUAGUCACGAGUAUUUUCUGAACUAUUCUUGAAUCAGAUAAUUCAGAACCAAACAAUCUUACUUUGUUAGCAAUGCUAAUAAGUUUAUUUGCAUACUCUUUAAUUGUUUCAGACUCCUUCAUCUUUUGCAUCUCAAAUUCUCGAAUCAAAUUAAGUGUUUGCAUCCCCCUAAUUCUUUCAUCUCCUUCAUAUUCAGUUUUGAGGAAAUUCCAUAUUUCAAAUGCUGAUUUGAUGGUUAUAAUUAUGGUGAAGAUUUCUUCUGAGACAGCAGCAAACAAAGUAGCCCUUGCUUUUGACUUUCUUGUUUUCCUUUCCUUGUGAUUAUUUAUCUGAGCCAUUGUUGGAUUGUCUGACAAAGGAAGAACUUUGUAGUCCUCCUCAACAGCUUCCCAAAGGUCAUUUGCCUCUAUUCUUGCUGCCCAUAUAUGAUAGUUUUCACCAUCAAACACAAGUAAUGGUAGGGCUUUGUAGGAUGUUUCAGAAUCCAUCUGAUUGAUAAAUUGAAAGAUAGUGUUUAAGCUUUUAUGGUGGGUUUCACUCACUUCACUCACAAGUCCCUCUAAGAAGAAGGCUCUAGAUACCAAUCUGUUGGAUAUAGAAAGGUUUAACGUGGAAAAAAUAUGUUAUGUGAACAACAUAAAAGGAAUAUUUUUAUUGAAUGAUAACCAUCAUAUUUAUACAUAAAGAAAAGCCUAAAAUAAUGCAUAAAGAAACUACUAUUUGAAAACUAAAUGCCUAAAAAACUGGUAACAAAUAGAGCAUAUCAGAGAGUUCCUAACAAU